GAAUUCAGUAGGGAUUCAGGCCUGACACAUGCAAGUCGAGCGGUAGAGAGAAGCUUGCUUCUCUUGAGAGCGGCGGACGGGUGAGUAAUGCCUAGGAAUCUGCCUGGUAGUGGGGGGUAACGUUCGGAAACGGACGCUAAUGCCGCAUACGUCCUACGGGAGAAAGCAGGGGACCUUCGGGCCUUGCGCUAUCAGAUGAGCCUAGGUCGGAUUAGCUAGUUGGUGAGGUAAUGGCUCACCAAGGCUACGAUCCGUAACUGGUCUGAGAGGAUGAUCAGUCACACUGGAACUGAGACACGGUCCAGACUCCUACGGGAGGCAGCAGUGGGGAAUAUUGGACAAUGGGCGAAAGCCUGAUCC
rnacentral:rRNA from 1 species